UACAGAGGUCUCAAGCGUUGUUCGGAUUCAUUGGGCGUAAAGGGUGCGUAGGCGGCGCGGUAAGUCGGGUGUGAAAUCUCGGAGCUUAACUCCGAAACUGCAUUGGAUACUACCCGGCUAGAGGAAUGGAGGGGAGACUGGAAUACUUGGUGUAGCAGUGAAAUGCGUAGAUAUCAAGUGGAACACCAGUGGCGAAGGCGAGUCUCUGGACAUUUCCUGACGCUGAGGCACGAAAGCCAGGGGAGCAAACGGG
rnacentral:rRNA from 1 species